GCCCGCACAAGCGGUGGAGCAUGUGGUUUAAUUCGACAACGCGAAGAACCUUACCAGGGCUUGACAUACUACAAAUCUUUUCGAAACGAAAGAGUGCCUUCGGGAAUGUAGAUACAGGUGGUGCAUGGCUGUCGUCAGCUCGUGUCGUGAGAUGUUGGGUUAAGUCCCGUAACGAGCGCAACCCUUGUCCUUAUUUGCCAGCAUUAAGUUGGGCACUCUAGGGAGACUGCCGGUGACAAACCGGAGGAAGGUGGGGAUGACGUCA
rnacentral:rRNA from 1 species